GGGCCAGCCCGGCAGCUCCGGCCUCAAGGGCGAGAGCGGCGACUUCGGGCCCCAGGGCCCCAGGGGACCCCCAGGGCUGAUGGGACCCCCAGGAAAACCCGGCCUGAGGGGCCGCCCAGGAGCCGACGGCGCCCGGGGGCUCCCGGGGCUCCCCGGCCUCAAGGGCGAUCGAGGCUUCGAUGGACUCCCGGGGCUGCUGGGGGAUAAAGGGCACCGGGUGAGACCCCUCCCCAAAAAAACCAAAAAAUCCCCAAAUUUUGGGGUUUUUAAACCAACCCAGGACCC